rnacentral:rRNA from 1 species
AACGUAGGUUCCGAGCGUUAUCCGGAUUUACUGGGCGUAAAGCGCGUUCAGGCGGUUUGGCAAGUCGGGCAUGAAAUCUCUCGGCUCAACCGGGAGAGGUUGUCCGAUACUGCUGGACUUGAGGGCGGUAGAGGGUGGUGGAAUUCCGGGUGUAGUGGUGAAAUGCGUAGAUAUCCGGAGGAACACCAGUGGCGAAAGCGGCCACCUGGACUGCACCUGACGCUGACACGCGAAAGCUAGGGGAGCGAACGGG